rnacentral:rRNA from 1 species
GGGUUGUGAGGUUAAGCGACUAAGCGUACACGGUGGAUGCCCUGGCAGUCAGAGGCGAUGAAGGACGUGCUAAUCUGCGAUAAGCGCCGGUAAGGUGAUAUGAACCGUUAUAACCGGCGAUUUCCGAAUGGGGAAACCCAGUGUGACUCGUCACACUAUCAUUAACUGAAUCCAUAGGUUAAUGAGGCGAACCGGGGGAACUGAAACAUCUAAGUACCCCGAGGAAAAGAAAUCAACCGAGAUUCCCCCAGUAGCGGCGAGCGAACGGGGAGGAGCCCAGAGCCUGAAUCAGCAUGUGUGUUAGUGGAAGCGUCUGGAAAGGCGCGCGAUACAGGGUGACAGCCCCGUACACAAAAGCGCACAUGCUGUGAGCUCGAUGAGUAGGGCGGGACACGUGGUAUCCUGUCUGAAUAUGGGGGGACCAUCCUCCAAGGCUAAAUACUCCUGACUGACCGAUAGUGAACCAGUACCGUGAGGGAAAGGCGAAAAGAACCCCGGCGAGGGGAGUGAAAAAGAACCUGAAACCGUGUACGUACAAGCAGUGGGAGCCCCACCACUAAGCCAGUGGUGAACUCCACAUACGCAUCCUUUGCUGAGGAUACGGUUAACGGAGCGCAAGCGACGUUCAACCGCAAAAGAAGCAGAGGGGGCUUAGUGGUGGGGUGACUGCGUACCUUUUGUAUAAUGGGUCAGCGACUUAUAUUCUGUAGCAAGGUUAACCGAAUAGGGGAGCCGGAGGGAAACCGAGUCUUAAUUGGGCGUUAAGUUGCAGGGUA